AUCUCUUUCUUUUGUUUUCCAUUAAGCUACUCUUCCAUUCCCUUUCCAGUCAUUGAGAAGAAAGAGAGCCUUUAAAAACCCAACAAAUAGGUUUGCCCCAUAUUAAAAAAUCCAGACCCAUCUUCUUUACUGGUGCUUGCCGCUGAUAUGGCAGCAAUACUUGGCAUCACACAGUUGUUAUUCUUACAAUUUUGAAGUGAUGAACCAAGGAAGAACGAUGGAUAAAUCAUUCACGUUUCGAGUGGAAAUGCAACAAACUGAACCAGCCCCAAAGUACGAAUCAAUGGGCGAGCAGUUAAAAUGGUGCCUGCGAGUGAGGUAGUGAAAAGAAAGGCUCCUGCUAGUGGGAAAGUGGAGAAGGUGAAUGGUGUAAAGCAGAUUAUAAAUGGUGUAAGCAUAGUUAGGAGAAACAGCAGUCCAUCCCUUGUACAGAAGUCUGUAUCGAGA